rnacentral:misc_RNA from 1 species
GUGACGUUCAACGAUUUACAGCCAGACAGAGAUUUAUUGUACAUAACGAAGGAUAAAAGGGAUGCCGCAGAUUGGAUAGAGCAUUCUUCAAUACAUUCUGUGGUUUUUUCAUUCCGAAUCCACUGGGCGUGAAAUUUGAUGGACAUACCUAGUUCGUAUUAUUACUGACGACUGCUCAUACGCAUUGCAAUGUUAUGCUACGACAAGCCCUGCAACCUUCAUCAUACAUAACGUCCUUUAUUUCAACGCUGCGUGACUACAUACCGGUACUAACAUUAAUCAUCUCUGCUGGUGGAUUACAUGCAACUUCCUACGUGAUAUGAAAAAUGUCGUUUGAUGUAGUAUUACGUAAUAUCUUUCUUUUUUUUAUUGAAAUAAAUUUUAUGAAUUUACGAUGUGCAGUACUGGGCAGACGCGUUCCACUGCAAUUUUUGCAAUUUUGCAAUUCCUAACGUUAAUGAUGUCA